UUCGGUUUAGUAUAUUGUGUAAUACCAAAGAUUGUAAAUCUUAUGAUGGUUGUUGACCAGCCGAGA
rnacentral:tRNA from 1 species